GCACCACAACAGGUGGAGCCUGCGGUUUAAUCGGACUCAACGCCGGGAAACUCACCAGAUAAGACAGCUGAAUGAUAGUCGGGCUGAAGACUCUACUUGACUAGCUGAGAGGAGGUGCAUGGCCGUCGUCAGUUCGUACUGUGAAGCAUCCUGUUAAGUCAGGCAACGAGCGAGACCCACGCCAACAGUUGCCAGCUCGUCCUCCGGGAUGGUGGGGACACUGUUGGGACCGCCUCUGCUAAAGAGGAGGAAGGAAUGGGCAACGGUAGGUCAGCAUGCCCCGAAUUAUCCGGGCUACACGCGGGCUACAAUGGUCAGGACAAUGGGUAUCAACACCGAAAGGCGAAGGCAAUCUCCUAAACCUGUCCUUAGUUCGGAUUGUGGGCUGCAACUCGCCCACAUGAAGCUGGAAUCUGUAGUAAUCGCUCUCAACAUGGCGCGGUGAAUAUGUCCCUGCUCCUU
rnacentral:rRNA from 1 species